rnacentral:rRNA from 1 species
GACGAACGCUGGCGGCGUGCUUAACACAUGCAAGUCGAACGAUGAACCCGGAGCUUGCUCCGGUGGAUUAGUGGCGAACGGGUGAGUAACACGUGAGUAACCUGCCCAUCAGCCGGGGAUAACUGCGGGAAACCGUGGCUAAUACCGGAUAAUCCUCUCCACCGCGGGGUGGGGAGUUGAAAGACGGUUUCGGCUGUCGCUGAUGGAUGGGCCUGCGGCGCAUUAGCUGGUUGGCGGGGUAACGGCCCACCAAGGCAACGAUGCGUAGCCGACCUGAGAGGGUGAUCGGCCACACUGGGACUGAGACACGGCCCAGACUCCUACGGGAGGCAGCAGUAGGGAAUCUUCCGCAAUGGACGCAAGUCUGACGGAGCAACGCCGCGUGAGUGAAGAAGGGUUUCGGCUCGUAAAACUCUGUUGUUAAGGAAGAACGCCAGGUAGAGUAACUGCUACCUGUGUGACGGUACUUAACCAGAAAGCCACGGCUAACUACGUGCCAGCCGCCGCCGUAA